rnacentral:misc_RNA from 1 species
CGCACAUUGCGCCCUUUGGCAGUCCGAAGGGCAUAUCUGUUCGAGUGUCAUUUACCUCUUCAAGCUCUGCUUGGUGUUGGGUGCUUGCCUUGCUAGGCUCACCUUGAAAUAAUGAGUGCUUGCGAGGCCCGUAAGUAGCGGAGUAGAAUCUGCUUCCAGGGGGCUGUUCGGGGCACUGUAAACCAAUCUUUCACCUUUUGACCUCGGAUCAGAUAGGGAUACCCGCUGAACUUAA